AUUUUAUUUUGACCGUUUUAUCUUUGCACAUUUAUUUUAUUUAAUAUACAGAAUCCUUUUUUAUUUAAAGGUUUGUUUUUCUGAUGUUGCCGCGUAAAACCGUUUUCGUGUAUACAUCUGUCUGAAGCAUAUAAAGAUUUCUGGAUCUGACAAGGGUUACAUAUAUAUACGGUCUAAUGGUUAAAGAUUUGAGUUCAAGCGCACAACUUAUUUAUUUAUUUGAUCAACAAUUGAAAAACAACUUUAGUUAAAACCUGCGGAUCGUUGGCUUUCCGGUCUACGGUGGCCAUGAAGCCUGUAGGAGUGGUGAGGUUUUAAAAACAGAAGAAGAUGGAAUCAUCUUGAAUAUCUUCAGGACACAUUUCGAUACUGUCGAUGAUUGGGUCAAUAUUGAAUAUUGUAGUUCGCCAUUUUCUGGUUUGAGGAGUAUGAGGUGUAUGGGGUUUGUGUUGCAUAAUAAUCUUGACUCUAGGUUAGACUAUGAGCUCAUCCAC